rnacentral:rRNA from 1 species
UAGUUUGAUCCUGGCUCAGAAUCAACGCUGGCGGCGUGCCUCAGACAUGCAAGUCGAACGAUUAAACUUUCCUUCGGGAGAGAUAUAAAGUGGCGCACGGGUGAGUAACACGUAAGUAAUCUACCUUCGAGUGGGGAAUAACGUCCGGAAACGGACGCUAAUACCGCAUAAUGCAGCGGCAUCGCAAGAUGACAGUUGUUAAAGGAAUUUAUUUCGCUUGAAGAGGAGCUUGCGGCAGAUUAGCUUGUUGGUAAGGUAACGGCUUACCAAGGCUACGAUCUGUAACCGGUCUAAGAGGACGGUCGGUCACACUGACACUGAAUAACGGGUCACACUCCUACGGGAGGCAGCAGUCGGGAAUUUUGGGCAAUGGGCGAAAGCCUGACCCAGCAACGCCGCGUGAAGGAUGAAGUAUUUCGGUAUGUAAACUUCGAAAGAAUAGGAAGAAUAAAUGACGGUUCUAUUUAUAAGGUCCGGCUAACUACGUGCCAGCAGCCGCGGUAAUACGUAGGGACCAAGCGUUGUUCGGAUUUACUGGGCGUAAAGGGCGCGUAGGCGGCUUGACAAGUCACUUGUGAAAUCUCUGGGCUUAACCCAGAACGGCCAAGUGAAACUGUCAUGCUAGAGUGCAGAAGGGGCAAUCGGAAUUCUUGGUGUAGCGGUGAAAUGCGU